rnacentral:rRNA from 1 species
AGUGAGCGCUGGCGGUAGGCCUAACACAUGCAAGUCGAACGGCAGCACAGUAAGAGCUUGCUCUUACGGGUGGCGAGUGGCGGACGGGUGAGGAAUACAUCGGAAUCUACUUUUUCGUGGGGGAUAACGUAGGGAAACUUACGCUAAUACCGCAUACGACCUACGGGUGAAAGCAGGGGAUCUUCGGACCUUGCGCGAUUGAAUGAGCCGAUGUCGGAUUAGCUAGUUGGCGGGGUAAAGGCCCACCAAGGCGACGAUCCGUAGCUGGUCUGAGAGGAUGAUCAGCCACACUGGAACUGAGACACGGUCCAGACUCCUACGGGAGGCAGCAGUGGGGAAUAUUGGACAAUGGGCGCAAGCCUGAUCCAGCCAUACCGCGUGGGUGAAGAAGGCCUUCGGGUUGUAAAGCCCUUUUGUUGGGAAAGAAAAGCAGCAGGUUAAUACCCCGCUGUUCUGACGGUACCCAAAGAAUAAGCAUCGGCUAACUUCGUG